UGGCGGAUGCCUAGGCUUUCAGAGGCGACGAAGGACGUGGUAAGCUGCGAAAAGCUGCGGGGAUUGGCACACACGAAUUGAUCCGCAGAUGUCCGAAUGGGGCAACCCGGCAUGUUGAAGACAUGUCACCCAGCAAUGGGAGCAAACCCGGAGAACUGAAACAUCUAAGUACCCGGAGGAAAAGAAAUCGAAGAGAUUCCGUAAGUAGUGGCGAGCGAAAGCGGAUUAGCCCAAAAGUCUUUAUAUGUUUAGAAGAAUGUUCUGGAAAGAACAGCCAUAGAGGGUGAUAGCCCCGUAAUCGAAAGGCAUACAUAGAUGAUAAAUGAGUAGGGCGGGACACGUGAAAUCCUGUCUGAAUAUGGGGGGACCAUCCUCCAAGGCUAAAUACUCCUGAAAGACCGAUAGUGAACAAGUACUGUGAAGGAAAGGUGAAAAGCACUUCGAAUAGAAGGGUGAAAUAGAACCUGAAACCGUACGCCUACAAGCGGUCGGAGCACCUAUAUGGUGUGACGGCGUGCCUUUUGCAUAAUGAGCCUACGAGUUAAUUUUACUAGCGAGGUUAAGGACUUCAGGUCCGGAGCCGGAGCGAAAGCGAGUCUGAAUAGGGCGAUUGAGUCGCGUGUCCUAGACCCGAAGCGGAGUGAUCUACCCAUGGCCAGGUUGAAGCGCGUGUAAGAGCGCGUGGAGGACCGAACCCACUUCAGUUGAAAAUGGAGGGGAUGAGCUGUGGGUAGGGGUGAAAGGCCAAUCAAACUCCGUGAUAGCUGGUUCUCCCCGAAAUGCAUUUAGGUGCAGCGUUGCGUGGUU
rnacentral:rRNA from 1 species